CCCUACGGGGCGCAGCAGGCGCGAAAACUUUACAAUGCGGGAAACCGCGAUAAGGGGACACCGAGUGCCAGCAUCCUAUGUUGGCUGUCCAUAUGUAUAAAUCACAUGUGUUAGCAAGGGCCGGGCAAGACCGGUGCCAGCCGCCGCGGUAACACCGGCGGCUCGAGUGGUAACCGUUAUUAUUGGGUCUAAAGGGUCUGUAGCCGGCCGGAUAAGUCUCUUGGGAAAUCCAGCAGCUCAACUGUUGGGCUUUCAGGAGAUACUGUCUGGCUCGAGGCCGGGAGAGGUGAGAGGUACUUCAGGGGUAGGGGUGAAAUCUUGUAAUCC
rnacentral:rRNA from 1 species